rnacentral:tRNA from 1 species
GGCAGUGCGGUCUAGUGGAUAGAGCACGGGCCUGCGAGCCAGAAGGACCUGGGUUCUAAUCCCAGCUCUGCCA